AAACAAAAGUCAAGUGUUAGAACUGUCUCCGCCGUCGUCAAUAGUGAAGCUUGACGAGAAAUUUGGGUUCUUUGAUUCUUCAUCUGAUUGCUCAUCUUAGGGUUUUUGUUCGUUUUGGUGGUCUCUUCUUCACUAUCUCAAGCUCAAUCAGUUUUGAUUUCUCUUGACCAUUGAAUUGCCAUCCCGAUCGAAUUAGAGGUGUUUCCUUCUCUCACUGCUUCUUAGCUAGUGGCAUAUUCGCUUGCUGCAUCUUCACCGCCUCUUAGGAAUGGAAAACAAGUAUCCUAAGCGGCUUAUGGAAGAUGGAAGUGAGCCACAAGUUGGACAGAUAAAUAACUCAUGUCGAAUGUCUAUUUUGAACAAAAUCAAGAGCGCAUUACCAGAGGAGUAUGAGAUUGUGAAGGGUGAUCCAGUUUUCGCAAGUAUUUUUGCAUUGUAUGAGAAUGGUCUUGGGUACUUAGCUCGGUUGAUACACAACAUCAUGUGUAGGCAGUUGGUGAAUAAGCAAAGACAUGAGCUGUGGUUUGUGUUUGGUAAGAAGACGCUUAGAUUCUCGAUGCAAGAAUUUCAUGCAGUUACUGGGCUAAAGUACAAUGAUGAUUUUAGUGGUGAUUCAGAGGAAUGUACAGAUGAUAAUGGGUUUUGGAGUAAAUUGUUGAAGAGAGGUGGUAUCAUUACCAUUCAAAGUUUGAUGAAGACCCACCUUGAAGCAGCCCAUUGUGGAGAAAAAAGAAGAUAAGAUUCAGUUUGUGUAUGUUUGUGUAAUUGUUGGGUUGGUUGUGGCUAAGGAUGAGAAGAAAGCUAUACCACAUUCAUACAUCAAGCUGGUCAUGGAUCUUGAGAAGGUUAGGAGUUAUCCUUGGGGUCUUGUAACUUUUGACCAUUUAGUUAGCUCUAUAAUGGAAGCAAGAAAGAAAUUGAAGAAUCCUAUUAGUUACAUCCUCAAUGGUUUCUCAUACGCUCUUCAAGUUUGGGUUAUGGAAGCCAUUCCUAUCAUUGGACAACUUAUGGGAGAGAAGAUUGACAAAGAGAUUACAGUUGGUCGAUGCUCUAAUUGGAAAGAUGCUGCAAAAGUAUCCUAUGAUGAGCUCCUCCUUGUAGAGAAAUUAAUUGGAAACAAGGAUGUUGUUUAUGCAUACAUUUCCUCCACUGGAAACUUUGAUGUAUUGGCAGAGCCGUCGCACAAUAUAUUGAGGCCACAAGCCCAACAUCAUGUUAAGGCUGGACCAAAGGAAAGAAAGAAAAAAAAUUGUUAAAAAAGGUGAUGCUGAGGUUCGAACCCAGUACCUCAUUUAGUUUAUAAUUGACUUUUACCACUACACUAAUGAAACUUUUAUCCAAUUGAGGGCCGAAAAUUUACAUAUUAUUUCACGGCCGCAAUCACAUGCUUCAUCAGCUUGUGCUUGGGACCGGCACUGUGUAUUGGAGUCCAUUGAAUAUUUGAGGAGUGAUAAAAUUGAAGAUUGUGAAGUGGACAACUUGGAUGCUCUGAUCAGAUCUGGCUAUGAUUUUGGAGAUUAUAUCUGGGAGAGUGUCGAAGGAUAUGGUGUGGAUACAAAUUGGAGUUACCAUCUACAGUGGUAGCAACUAGUAGAACUCCUUUGUAUUUAUUCUUCAAAAAUGUUCCAUCAACUACUAUCACUUUCCGCAUUGCCUUGUAGAAC